CCGGGGGAUAACAGGCUUAUCUCCCCCAAGAGGCCACAUCGACGGGGAGGUUUGGCACCUCGAUGUCGGCUCAUCACAUCCUGGGGCUGUAGUAGGUCCCAAGGGUUGGGCUGUUCGCCCAUUAAAGUGGUACGCGAGCUGGGUUCAGAACGUCGGGAGACAGUUCGGUCCCUAUCCGUCGCAGGCGUAGGAAAUUUGAGAAGACCUGUCCUUAGUACGAGAGGACCGGGAUGGACGUACCUCUGGUGUACCAGUUGUCCUGCCAAGGGCAUGGCUGGGUAGC
rnacentral:rRNA from 1 species